rnacentral:rRNA from 1 species
CAGUUUGAUUCUGACUGAAAAAUUAACUCUUGCCAACCAAAAUACAUGUAAACCUAUCUAGCCCCGCACUAACUUUUAUCUAAAAGAUUUAAUAAAUGUAUUAAGAAUAUUCCCAAUACAGUAGAGCGCCACAGUAAACAACACUUUUCAAUUUGAAAAAUCAAGAAAAGGGUAUGGUAUAAGGGCUGGCAAAAUUCGUGCCAGCUGCCGCGGUUAGACGAAAAGCCCAAGUUAAUAAAAUAUAAACUAAAUUAAUGAUAAAUUAAAUAAUAACAAAAGUCUAAUUUUUAAAAUUCUUGUCCCCCACUUAUCAAAUAACAGUGAAAUCGUGAACUAAAACGUGGAUUAGAUACCCACCUAUUCACGACAUAAAUAAUAGUUGAAUAUUACGAACAAUAGUUUAAAAUUCAAAGAUUUUGGCGGUGUCUUAUAAAAUCAGGGGAACCUGUCUCAUAACUCGAUAAUCCACGUAUACUCAACCCCCUCUUGAUAUGUCAGCAUGUGUACUGCCGUUGUAAGCACACCUUUAAAAGAACAAGUGUGCUACUAUGAUUACUAGUUAACUCAUAUACAUCAGGUCAAAGUGCAGCUAAUGAGGGGGAGAUGAUGGGUUACAACCCUAAAACAGACUAUAGACUAAGAAAUUAAAAACCUUACGAAAGUGGACUUGACCGUAAUCAAUUUACAAGUUAAAAAAAUGAAUACUAUCUAAGACAUGCACACAUCGCCCGUCACUCUACCCUAAAGGAUAGAUAAGUCGUAACAAAGUAGGUGUAAUGGAAAUUGCCCCUGU